GCCCUGCAGGCCUUGUGGAGCUCCAGCACUGUGUCCAGAAGCCGAAUGAGCCCCUGCGCGACUUCAUCCAGCGUUGGACAACCCUCUACCACACGGUGGAGAACGUCACCGAGCAUCAAGCGGUCUGCGCCUUCAAGGCAGGCGUGCGGUACAGAGAGCUGUACCUAAAGUUCGGUCGAACAGGCGACAUCUCCAUGAGCAAGAUGAUGGAGAUAGCGGCUCGCUAUGCAAAUGGCGAAGAAGAGGACCGCAUCCGGAGCGGCAAGCACAAGACAAUCGGCGAUGUUGAUGGAGGUAACAC
rnacentral:lncRNA from 1 species